UACGGAGGGGGCUAGCGUUGUUCGGAAUUACUGGGCGUAAAGCGCACGUAGGCGGCUUUGUAAGUUAGAGGUGAAAGCCCGGGGCUCAACUCCGGAAUUGCCUUUAAGACUGCAUCGCUAGAAUUGUGGAGAGGUAAGUGGAAUUCCGAGUGUAGAGGUGAAAUUCGUAGAUAUUCGCAAGAACACCAGUGGCGAAGGCGGCUCACUGGCCCGGUACUGACGCUGAGGUGCGAAAGCGUGGGGAGCAACAGG
rnacentral:rRNA from 1 species